CAGGUACAANCCGUCGCGAGACCGCAAGGUGGAGCUAAUCGGAUAAANCCUGUCUCAGUUCGGAUUGUCGGCUGCAACUCNCCGGCAUGAAGUUGGAAUCGCUAGUAAUCGCGGAUCAGCACGCCGCGGUGAAUACGUUCCCGGGCCUUGUACACACCGCCCGUCACAUCACGAAAGCUGGCUGUACUAGAAGUAGCAGCGCUAACCCGCAAGGGAGGCAUGUUCCUAAGGUAUGGUCAGUGAUUGGGGUGAAGUCGUAACUAGGUUNCC
rnacentral:rRNA from 1 species